AUCAACCUGGAAUGUGCGAUUCAACCUGUUGUUUUGAACCUACAUUUACUUUAAAAGGGAUUCUUAUAUUGUCUGAUGGAUGUCAGGCCUCCGUUCGCAGUGGAAGGCAGAAGUCAGAUUGCGGUUACCCACCUAGCAUUGCUAGGAGUCAAAAUAUCAGGCCCGGCAUUUUGGGGAUACA
rnacentral:other from 1 species